GACGAACGCUGGCGGCGUGCUUAACACAUGCAAGUCGAGCGGUAAGGCCCUUUCGGGGUACGACGAGCGGCGAACGGUGAGUAACACGUGGGUGACCUGCCCUCCAGCUCUGGGAGUAAGCCUGGGAAACCGGGUCUAAUACCGGAUAUGACUCCAUGACGCAUGUUGUGGGGUGGAAAGCCUUGUGCGGCUGAGGAUGGGCCCGCGGCCUAUCAGCUUGUUGGUGGGGUGAUGGCCUACCAAGGCGACGACGGGUAGCCGGCCUGAGAGGGCGACCGGCCACACUGGGACUGAGACACGGCCCAGACUCCUACGGGAGGCAGCAGUGGGGAAUCUUGCGCAAUGGGCGAAAGCCUGACGCAGCGACGCCGCGUGAGGGAUGACGGCCUGG
rnacentral:rRNA from 1 species